UCUGGUGCCAGCAGCCGCGGUAAUUCCAGCUCCUAUAGCGUAUAUUAAAGUUGUUGCAGUUAAAAAGCUCGUAGUUGAACCUUGGGCCUGGCUGGCCGGUCCGCCUCACCGCGUGCACUGGUCCGGCCGGGCCUUUCCUUCUGGGGAGCCGCAUGGCCUUCACUGGCCGUGUCGGGGAUCCAGGACUUUUACUUUGAAAAAAUUAGAGUGUUCAAAGCAGGCCUUUGCUCGGAUACAUUAGCAUGGAAUAAUAGAAUAGGACGCGCGGUUCUAUUCUGUUGGUUUCUAGGACCGCCGUAAUGAUUAAUAGGGAUAGUCGGGGGCAUCUGUAUUCAAUUGUCAGAGGUGAAAUUCUUGGAUUUAUUGAAGACAACUACUGCGAAAGCAUUUGCCAAGGAUGUUUUCAUUAAUCAGUGAACGAAAGUUAGGGGAUCGAAGACGAUCAGAUACCGUCGUAGUCUUAACCAUAAACUAUGCCGACUAGGGAUCGGAGGGUGUUAUUUAUUUGACCCCUUCGGCACCUUACGAGAAAUCAAAGUUUUUGGGUUCUGGGGGGAGUAUGGUCGCAAGGCUGAAACUUAAAGAAAUUGACGGAAGGGCACCACCAGGCGUGGAGCCUGCGGCUUAAUUUGACACAACACGGGGAAACUCACCAGGUCCAGACACAAGGAGGAUUGACAGAUUGAGAGCUCUUUCUUGAUUUUGUGGGUGGUGGUGCAUGGCCGUUCUUAGUUGGUGGAGUGAUUUGUCUGCUUAAUUGCGAUAACGAACGAGACCUUAACCUGCAAUAGCCAGGCCCGCUUCGGCGGGUCGCCGGCUUCUUAGAGGGACUAUCGGCUCAAGCCGAUGGAAGUUUGAGGCAAUAACAGGUCUGUGAUGCCCUUAGAUGUUCUGGGCCGCACGCGCGCUACACUGACAGGGCCAACGAGUUCAUCACCUUGGCCGGAAGGUCUGGGUAAUCUUGUUAAACCCUGUCGUGCUGGGGAUAGGGCAUUGCAAUUAUUGCCCUUCAACGAGGAAUGCCUAGUAAGCGCGUGUCAUCAGCACGCGUUGAUUACGUCCCUGCCCUUUGUACACACCGCCCGUCGCUACUACCGAUUGAAUGGCUCAGUGAGGCCUCCGGACGGACUCAGGGAGGUCGGCAACGACCACCCAGAGUCGGGAAGUUGGUCAAACUCAGUCAUUUAGA
rnacentral:rRNA from 1 species